rnacentral:rRNA from 1 species
AUUCCAGCUCCAAUAGCGUAUAUUAAUGUUGUUGCAGUUAAAAAGCUCGUAGUUGAAUUUCUGGUUAAAAUCUUAGCUGGCUUUGGUCGUUAAUGUUUUAAUCAUCCGUUAGAGAACUAUAACCGUCCUUAACUGGUCAUUAUAGAGAUCUAACAUUUUACUUUGAAAAAAUUAGAGUGUUCAAGGCAGGCAAUCGUCAUGAAUACUAUAGCAUGGAAUAAUGGAAUAGGACUUUGGUUCAUUUUAUUGGUUAUUGAACCUUAGUAAUGAUUAACAGGGACAGUUGGGGGCAUUAGUAUUUAAUUGUCAGAGGUGAAAUUCUUGGAUUUAUUAAAGACUAACUUAUGCGAAAGCAUUUGCCAAGGAUGUUUUCAUUA